rnacentral:rRNA from 1 species
GGGUUGUGAGGUUAAGCGACUAAGCGUACACGGUGGAUGCCCUGGCAGUCAGAGGCGAUGAAGGGCGUGCUAAUCUGCGAUAAGCGCCGGUAAGGUGAUAUGAACCGUUAUAACCGGCGAUACCCGAAUGGGGAAACCCAGUGUGAUUCGUCACACUAUCAUUAACUGAAUCCAUAGGUUAAUGAGGCGAACCGGGGGAACUGAAACAUCUAAGUACCCCGAGGAAAAGAAAUCAACCGAGAUUCCCCCAGUAGCGGCGAGCGAACGGGGAGGAGCCCAGAGCCUGAAUCAGCAUGUGUGUUAGUGGAAGCGUCUGGAAAGGCGCGCGAUACAGGGUGACAGCCCCGUACACAAAAGCGCAUGUGCUGUGAGCUCGAUGAGUAGGGCGGGACACGUGGUAUCCUGUCUGAAUAUGGGGGGACCAUCCUCCAAGGCUAAAUACUCCUGACUGACCGAUAGUGAACCAGUACCGUGAGGGAAAGGCGAAAAGAACCCCGGCGAGGGGAGUGAAAAAGAACCUGAAACCGUGUACGUACAAGCAGUGGGAGCACAGGUUUACCUGUGUGACUGCGUACCUUUUGUAUAAUGGGUCAGCGACUUAUAUUCUGUAGCAAGGUUAACCGAAUAGGGGAGCCGGAGGGAAACCGAGUCUUAAUUGGGCGUUAAGUUGCAGGGUAUAGACCCGAAACCCGGUGAUCUAGCCAUGGGCAGGUUGAAGGUUGGGUAACACUAACUGGAGGACCGAACCGACUAAUGUUGAAAAAUUAGCGGAUGACCUGUGGCUGGGGGUGAAAGGCCAAUCAAACCGGGAGAUAGCUGGUUCUCCCCGAAAGCUAUUUAGGUAGCGCCUCGUGAAUUCAUCUCCGGGGGUAGAGCACUGUUUCGGCUAGGGGGCCAUCCCGGCUUACCAACCCGAUGCAAACUGCGAAUACCGGAGAAUGUUAUCACGGGAGACACACGGCGGGUGCUAACGUCCGUCGUGAAGAGGGAAACAACCCAGACCGCCAGCUAAGGUCCCAAAGUCAUGGUUAAGUGGGAAACGAUGUGGGAAGGCCCAGACAGCCAGGAUGUUGGCUUAGAAGCAGCCAUCAUUUAAAGAAAGCGUAAUAGCUCACUGGUCGAGUCGGCCUGCGCGGAAGAUGUAACGGGGCUAAACCAUGCACCGAAGCUGCGGCAGCGACGCUUAUGCGUUGUUGGGUA